CUACACAUGCAGGCGAGCGGUAGAGAGAAAGGCUUGCUUCUCUUGAGAGCGGCGGACGGGUGAGUAAUGCCUAGGAAUCUGCCUAGUGGUGGGGGAUAACGUUCGGAAACGGACGCUAAUACCGCAUACGUCCUACGGGAGAAAGCGGGGGACCUUCGGGCCUCGCGCCAUUAGAUGAGCCUAGGUCGGAUUAGCUAGUUGGUGAGGUAAUGGCUCACCAAGGCUACGAUCCGUAACUGGUCUGAGAGGAUGAUCAGUCACACUGGAACUGAGACACGGUCCAGACUCCUACGGGAGGCAGCAGUGGGGAAUAUUGGACAAUGGGCGAA
rnacentral:rRNA from 1 species